AAGCAAUGAAGUAAAAUUUACAUUUAGUUUCGACCUAAAACUAGAGAAAUUAAUUCUCCCUGCUUA
rnacentral:tRNA from 1 species